CCUGGCUGAUGCUAUUUUUAAGGACUGCUGGCCUUAUAUGUUGAACUGGAGAGGGUUUUUCAAGUGUUGUGUUCCCAUACUAUGGUGUUGCUAUACAUUUGGCUGGACAAGAAUUUCAAAUAAAGUAGAUCUCCCAAGUACAUGCUGAGUCUGGCUGGUCUUGGAAGCUUUUUCUGCUUUCAAAAGAGCAAGGGAUAGAUCUUGCAGGACAGGGGACUGUGGCUGUUUGUCUGCUCUGUUUUCUAUCCCUUUGUGCUAUAGAUUCUGGUCAUAGCAUUGAUCCCUGUAUUGCCCAAAUCACGGCUUUGCAAUUGAGAUCGUUCCAAAGAGACUGUUAGGAAAAAAAAAAAAAAAAACUCAGUGAAAGAAGAAUACAAGUUCCCAUAGCUGAGAUUUCUACUACUAAGAUAAUAAGGAAAGCUUCCCAUUGACUGUAGAUAAUUUUUCAGAAUUGAUUCACUGCAUGAAACUUAUUUGUCACACCAAAGGGGGUAUUUCCAUGCACAUGUGCAGGUUAGCAAAGAGACUUGGGGUAGGUGCAGUGAGCUGUUGGAGAAGCAGGGCAGGCCUGUGCACUCGAUGCUUUGUGUAGCUCUGAUGAAAUGAACCUUUGGAAAUUACAGUUUAUCUGGCUUGUGGACUUCCUCUCCUCUGUGUUGAUCCCACAUGAGGUGAAACAAGCCAGAGUGUAUUAACAAAAGUAUAAAUAGAAGUUAAAAUGUAAAAUAAAUGCAGACUUCAGACUGAAAUAUUACAUCUUAAAAUUACUAGAAAUACACUGCAGCACUUUUCUGUGUGCUUCUUGUUUAAUUGUUAUUUUCUAAUUUAAAAACAUCUCCCAAACCCCACAGAUAUUAUCAAGUAGUCUGCAUUAAAAUAGAGUGAAAACCAAGAAUAUCUCUCGGUAGUUAAGGGUAGACAAAAUGCAAGGUGUUUAUUAUUCCAAGCCAAGCCUAACAAAAUUACAAUUCACUGAAAUCUGUAGAAGCACCAUAUGCAUAGAAAACACAGCUCCUUAAGGAUAAGGCAUUGUAGCCCCUAAAAAUAGUCCAAAUUAAAAAAAAAAAAAGACAUUAUCUUCUCACAGUGAGGCAAUUGAUUAGAAACAAGACUUCAAUUUAAGCCCAAGCUUGUAUGUGGUGAUCAAAUAAACCCCCAAAUGAUGGUCUACUGAGAAGGGAAGCAGCAAAGGAAACUGGAAGGAGCAGUGCUGUGAGGCAGAAUUGUUUCUUAGUUUCUCGGGGUUUUUUUAAGCAAUCAUGAUUGUUAUGCUUAUUUUUCAUCCCCUUGGAUUCCACCCCUGCAUCAUUUCCUGUGCCUACAGAGAGGUGCAAUUUCUGCCAUUAGGUCAAAAUACCUGUUCUGCUCAAUAGCAACUUGUUGAUGCUUGGAUUUUGUUACAGGUCAGUUUGAGCUGUCUCACCGUGGUGUGACCUGUGUCUCCACCACAGUUCCCUGCUGGGAACCAGGUGGCAUUUUGACAUGUGUUAUUAAACCCAUUUGAAAGCAAUUGUCGUGAGGUGCAGGGCAAGUUUGCUCACAACAGCAUGGGUGGGGCUGCGUGUCCCUUCUGAAUCAGCCCCUGUGCAUCUGCCAGGUCCUCCCACUGCCAUUCCCUGCUGCACUUUACUGUGGUGUAUUUUUGCUGUUCAUUUGCUCCUGUGUUCACUAUUGACCCAGUGUCACAUCAAACAUCUCAACUGGCUAAAUGUUGGCUUGUGGCCAAGGGCUGCCCUUGGCCCUCGCUCGCAGGGAGGAACGUGCUGGUACCGUGUGCCUGCCUCUUGAGGGGUUUUAUGUGGUGCCCCACCAUGGUCCCUUGUCAUCUCUAAAGAAGUGAAGGAAAGGGAAGGAGAUGCCCAUGGCCUGCAAGUGACAGCGAUCUGGUCACUAGAUUUUGUGGAUGCAGACCGAUGUUGACACAAACACAGAAUAGGAGAGAUUGGCUUUGAACCCAAUAGCCUUUGAAAGACUAGUCAAGGCUGAUGCAAUGGUAAAUCAGAGUCAGCAUUGCUGAAUAUUAGAGACAGGAUGACAUGGAUGCAGGCAGAACCCCAGCCAGGCUGGAAUCCUGGUAGUUAGUGCUGUUUGAUGGAAAACAUCAUGCAGCAGUGCCUAUCCAACUUGGGGGCCUCACAAGGUGGUGUUUUGCUCAUUUACCCUUUCUCUGCUUUGUGGACUUUCACUUCCUCCCUCCCCCAUGCAUUAGCACACUGUUCUUUUCCCUGUAAAGGCAUUUUUCACAGCCGCAGCUCCAGCUUUCAUACAUCCAGUUCACGCCUCCCUGACACAGCAUUAACUCCUGUCCAGCUGUUGAGCCCAACUGCUGUGUGCUACUUCUCCAGAGCUGGGGUGUGGGCACCUCACGGGCUUGAACAGUAUUGCUUUUGUGGCAAAUACAAAAAAGUGUGAGAUCUUAAAUCACAUAUUUGGCUCACAGAUUCAAUGCAUUUUUAGCACUGCACUGGCAUGAGAUGAUACUAAAUCACAACACAUAUAUACUGAAGAAAUAAGUAUUUUAAGGCACGUGAUGGUAUGCCUCCCUUUGCAUGCUGCUGCAGAACUAGGUGCUCUGUAGUGCACAGUUCUGUAUGCUGAUCCACAAGAUUUAAAAAUGGAAAAUGAAGGUAUAAGAAAAGGAGAACAAACAAAUUGAGAAGGAAAACCAAAGAUUAAGCUCUUUUGGAGAGAAGCCAGCACAACAAUGCAGCUCUCUUGGCAGGGCACUUUACGCUUGUGGUACCUUUGCAAUUCCACACUAGCUUUAAAGAACCAGCCCCAUUAGCAGCAAUGCAGCAUCUUGUCCUGGUUUGCCUGCUGCCUUUCUGAACAGGUUCUUUGUUCCAGGGACACCUGAUGGAUGGCAUCCUCCACAACAAGGACAACCUCAGGUGAUGUCCACCACAUUGUCAGCCUCCCUGUGCUCCUCACAGUACUCCUGGUCCCAUCAGUAGACUCCAGAAGCACAUAAAUAAGAAUGACAUUAUCCUUCCUAGCAGGACAGUGCCCCCUUCUUCUGCACCCCCCGUGAGCUGGCAGUGUUCCCGGUGGCCACACAUUUGUAAACCUUUUCCAAAAGUUGAUGUAACUCUCACUUAUGCUUCACCCCUUUCAUGGAUUUAGGCUCUUGUGCAGCAAAGCAGCCUGCAGAAAUACUUUUGCCACCAAAUCUUAAAUUAGGACAAACCCAAGGAAGUGUCCCAAAGUCAAUGGUAGAUUUUGGUGGCACAGAGACUACAGCUAAUUGUCCUUUCUCUGGGUUUGGUGGUUUUUUUCUUCCCAUAGCACCUGACCCUUUCCAGCAAGAAUGGACAGAGCUGCUUCAGUGAGCAAUCUUUUCCACUGUAAAGGCAAAAAAAUGUACAAGGGAGGAUGCAAUAAGGAGCUGCUCACAUCCUCUGAGAGACAAAGAUGUGAAGACUUGAGGAAAAGGCUCCCAAAGAAUGGCAGAUGGAGGCAGUCAGAAGCAUGGAGAUGCAGUUCCUCAAAUGCAUCAAGGCAUAUGCACCUCCUGGAGAGUAUGGGCCAAGACUGUCUUGUGACCUUUCCGUAUUUUGCAGUCUCUGCUUUUAAAUCCAUUUUGUUGGAAGUGAAUUUUGCUAAAAACAACAAAGCACAAAUGCCUUUCUCAGCAUGUCACAACUUUUUUGACCAACCCACAUAGACAAACUGGAGACCUUGAGAACAUACGCUUCCGUUCUGUAUAAACAGUUUAAAAUAGAUUUUAGCUUUGCUCAGCAUUACAUACAGUUACUAUUUUUAAAUGCACUCCAAUUAAUCAUUCCCUUUUCUUGUCUGUGCCCUCCAUUCAUGCUUUUGAAUCUCGUACGUGUUCAAGUUCUUGUCUUAUCAUGAAAACAAAUAUAUCUGUACAUUUUAAUUAAUUCAGAAUACCAAGGUUUCCCUCCUCCCCACCAAUACAAAUACACGUAUGAGGCAUAAAGAAAAUCCACAUACUGUGUCACGUGCAUGUUAAAACCUGCAGCAAUUGGGAUUAGAACAUCUCACAAACAUGCCAACAUUGUUGACAACUGGUCUCUAGCUUCAAGAAGAGAAAUGCAUCCCUCAGCCUGUGCUUCUGAAUGGCUGCACAUCCCAGAGAUGCCUCUGUGUUGAGGUGGCUUAAAGUGUUCACUAUCUCUGCUUCCUUUUUCAGUCCAUCUGCAAUGCUCCAGCCUUGUACUGGAAAUAUUUUGGUAGCUGCUUAUUGUACCUGGAGGAAAGGGCAAUUACUUCUUAUCCAGAGCCAGCUCUCCAUCUGUUUUUCAGUUAUCCGUGUGCAGAUUUCAUUGCCAUUCUAGAACUGCUAAGGGCAGGAUGGGAAGCUCUUCAUGUUUUCCAAACAGUAUGUAAAAUCUUGUGGGAUAAGGAAGCAAGAGGCCAAAGGUGCUUGUCAGAAUUACACAUAGGAGAAUAAGUACAGAGAGUACACAGGAAAGGGCUCUGCAGCUGUAGGAUAUUCUUCAUGGAAGGGAAGCAGGCUUGGACAUCCGAAAGUGCCACACACGCACUGCUGGUUUCUCCAGGUUAGCAGUGCUGGCUCAGUCCCAGCAGUCUGCUGCUUCAGGAAGAGAUCAGUGAGAAACAUCUGCUGGAUUUCAACUUUCUCCUUUUCAGAUACCCCAUUACACUCACUCUGGAAUCACUGCAUGACUUAAAGGCAGGAAUCCAAAGAGCCUGCUGCAAAGUGAGCUGUGGGGAUUGCUCUUAUUGCCAGUGUUUCCUGCCAGCUGCUGACAGCGCUUGGAACAUAGUAAGGUCUAGCUAACAAACACUGGUGGAUAAACAGGACCUGGCAAGAGAAAUCAGGGGAAUGAUUUGGUUUGCACCAGGCCACUGGAUCCCAUUUCUUUGUGCAAAACAUCGCAGACUGCUGCACCAGAGGAAUGUGCUAUGGGAUGUGGAGCAGAACAGAAAACACAUUCCUUGAAGGAGCUAGCAAUGCCAAAAGAUGGCAGCUAUGUAGAGGUAAAAGGCUUUACUUAAGGGGCAACAAGACAGAAUGUCUGUGCUAAUUGACAGAACUUCUGCUCCUGAGUUACUGUGGGUAUAUAAAGUCAUGUCUCAGUAGAUGAUCAUAAGUGUACUCUUGGGACAGACUGCCAUGGGAUGGAGGAAUGGAAAACCCUUUUCUUGCUUUAUGGCUGGUGUCUGAGCAGCACAGUCAGAGGGCUGGCUGUUUUUUCACUCUGUCCUUUAGCCUGGCUUUUGCUUGGAAACUGGGAGAAAACCAAGGAGGAUGAAUUAAUGCUUCUGUGAAAACACUCAGUGCACAUCUCUAAUCAGGCAGAAUGGCACUUAAAGAAGAGUCCCAAGAGCUGGUUGUGAGGUAACAUUAAGUAUAGACUUUGCACAUUAGUAUUUCUUAGGCUAGAAAAAAAGUAAAAUUCUCAUUUAAAUUACCUGGUUAAAAAAGAAAAAAAAAAAAAAAAA
ensembl:lncRNA